UACGUAGGUCCCGAGCGUUGUCCGGAUUUAUUGGGCGUAAAGCGAGCGCAGGUGGUUUGUUAAGUCUGGUGUAAAAGGCAGUGGCUCAACCAUUGUAUGCAUUGGAAACUGGUAGACUUGAGUGCAGGAGAGGAGAGUGGAAUUCCAUGUGUAGCGGUGAAAUGCGUAGAUAUAUGGAGGAACACCAGUGGCGAAAGCGGCUCUCUGGUCUGUAACUGACGCUGAGGUUCGAAAGCGUGGGUAGCAAACAGG
rnacentral:rRNA from 1 species